rnacentral:rRNA from 1 species
CCCUUAGAUGUCCGGGGCCGCACGCGCGCUACACUGAAGGAAUCAGCGUGGCUUUCUCCCUGACCCGAAAGGGUUGGGAAACCCGUUGAAUCUCCUUCGUGAUAGGGAUUGGGGCUUGAAAUUGUUCCCCAUGAACGAGGAAUUCCCAGUAAGCGCGAGUCAUAAGCUCGCGUUGAUUACGUCCCUGCCCUUUGUACACACCGCCCGUCGCUACUACCGAUUGAACGGUUUAGUGAGGGCCUCGGAUUGGUCUCGGCCCGCUCUUUACCGGGCGGCGCCGUUGGUCGUGAAGACGCUCGAACUUGAUCGUUUAGAGGAAGUAAAAGUCGUAACA